rfam:Pseudomonadales bacterium RIFCSPLOWO2_02_FTLL_63_210 rifcsplowo2_02_scaffold_345666, whole genome shotgun sequence.
UUGCGCAAGUGGCGAGUUAAUCAGCAAUAUUCGCAAUCUUUAGCUGCGCCUGUAUCUGUAAUCUUUACCUCAGUUUCACGGCCCGGACGACACGUCCACCCGGCUCGCCCAAUCAGGCGAACCGGCGCCGCCGGCCUUACCAGGCCGUCACGGCACCCGGGUCCGCACUGCCCAACCAGGCAGGCGACGAAAGCGGCAACAGAAUUGCCAGUAGCGGACACUUGCCUUAGGCAAGAAAAGAGGGAGGCCGCCAGGUCUCCCU